GAAUGUCUGUCAAUGCUUUCAGCAGAAUUUAGAAACACAACUCUUCCUAAACAGAUAUUUUGAGGCUGUGAGGUUGAACGUUUGAGAGUAUAUCAGUGUGUUUGUUUGUGGUCUUUCUGUUUCUAAGUGGAAGCUGAAUUAGUGAGGAUGACUCCUGCUCCUGUCAUCUCUAAGCUCCUCACACAUCUUUACCUGCACAUGAGGAAAAUCACUCCUGUAGAAUGCAGAUGUUCAGAGGGAGAUGAUGCCACAUCUGGUCCAGCUGAUGGAAGGUCUUGAAGUUCUCUGACUGGCCUCGACUGAAGAUGGUCGUCUCACUGUAUUUAAGGUUCAGAUGCUCAGUAACAAACUCCACCAAUGUGCCAACAGGGAAGCUUUAGGUUUAUUAAAUGUUGCUAUGAAGGUAUCGCUGUUUUUCUUUGUGAAUGCAAUGUGUUCCAACUGAAACUUGAAUUAGAACUUAGAAGUAAAUCCUUCCAUCUGAAAGGAUCUAGUUGCAUUAAUAACCUCAUAACAUUCUAAUUUUUAUUCCAGUCUUGGUUGGAAAUAGAAUCUCUGUAUUGAUUCAGGUAAAAACUGAACUUCACAGCAUGUUGGAGCAAAACAACCAGAUGAAAACUGUGAUGGUGUUGGAUUGUCAGACCGUAAUGUUGCAGCUCAAAGCAGCUUUUCUAUCUCAGUUCAUUCUGACAUUCAGCUAUGAAUCAACACAGCAGAUGGUGAUCCAUGCUGUGGAAGUCUCACAUCUCCUGAUUUAAUGGAGCUGCUUUGCACUUUUUACACUGUUUAUUCACCAACACUUUAUUUAAUAAAAGUCCCAUCUAGUUUUUAUGAGGAAUGUGAUGUUUUAAUUUCUCUGUGAAUAACUGCAGUCUAAUGCAACAGCUGGAGUUGUAACAUCUGUCCUGAUAUUGAUCAUGAAGUAUUGAUCAGAAUACUUAUGGUUAGCAGUCAUCCCUGAAGUUUUAUAUUAAAAUCUUUACUUGUGUUGUGAACUUUGGUAAGAAGCAGAAACUUUUGCGUUGCCAUGGAUACAUGAGUGUUAAAUUCUGUCCAUGUUUCCAUUUUGGGAAAUUCAGUCCAGUACCAGAAUGUGGAGGAAUUUAGUCUCACAAUCACAGACAACAAAUAUUAUCUGAAAGUCGGGUUAUUGUUGUUUAUCAGCACAAUACAAAAAGAUUAAUGUUAGAAAUAUUCCAGUUAAGACUCUAAAAUAUUAUGAUUUAUGUAAAUUUACCUCAACAAUAUGAAUGUUCAGGUUAAGAUUGUGCAGUGAUAUUUAUUAUGUAAGUUUAGCUGAUUAAAGUUUAUGACUCUGCACUAAAAUAUUAUUUAAAUUUACAUCAUUAUUAUAAUAUUUAGGGUCAGACCUUACAGUAUUGAGAUUAAGAAAUCAAAUAUUCUAUAAAAUAUAAAUACACUGAAUUCAUUUGGAUAUAUUUAAGUGAGACUCUACAAUAUUAUUUGACACAAAUCUAUCUAAAUCAAAAUUUUAAUAAUUUUCAUGCCAAACAUUUACUGGACUGAUUUAAAUAUUAAAAUCACUCCUUUCUAAUCCUCUGCUGUACGUUCAAACCUGAGGCCUUAAAUAGAAACACACAAGUAUCUGUUUGAAGGAACUUCUGCAGAGUCCUGGUUCCAGAACAUGAUGAUAGAAUUAUAGACAAACUUUAACAAAAGCUGCCUGAGAGUUUACAGGUUUUUAUGUUGGAUUUCUUCAGUAAUUUAAUGAGCGUUAUCAGCAAAUAUCAAGUGUUCAUUUGAUGAUUUCAUUUCCUAAAACAUCCAGAAUUGGAGCUCAUAUCUUUGGCAGCUGUAAAUUUUCUGCUCUUUCAAAGUUCACAACACAAUGAAUGAAUUCCUAAAACACUCUCAAUGCUGGAGAGCGUUUGUGAUGCUGAAGCAGUGAUCAGUUUUUCUGUUUCUUCUCUGGAGAUGCACAAUGAGGGACGUCUGCAGAGACUGAGAAAGAGUCUCACCACAUCCUGACAUGAGGAAAAAGACUUUAUUGAAGACUACAAUGAGAAAAACUAUCAGACAGCAGACGGCAUGCAUUCAAAGCUACAGGAGGAGUCCUACGAGGACGAGCCGGUCCACCUGAUGGCGGCCAGUCGCUGCGGUUCAAAGCCAACACCGACUACGUGGACUUCUACUGGACCACACGGAGGCCUUCAAACCGGACCAACAAGUUCA